GGAUUAAUAGCUUAAUAGGUAAAGUGUUUACUUGUCGAGUAAAAGGAUGUUUGUUCAAAUCAAACUUAAUUCG
rnacentral:tRNA from 1 species